rfam:Bacillus sp. VT-16-70 Bacillus_obstructivus_contig154, whole genome shotgun sequence.
CUAACCCGCACCCCUGAAUCGGGGUGGGAGACAGUGUCAGGCAGGCAGUUUGACUGGGGCGGUCGCCUCCUAAAAGGUAACGGAGGCGCCCAAAGGUUCCCUCAGAAUGGUUGGAAAUCAUUCGCAGAGUGUAAAGGCACAAGGGAGCUUGACUGCGAGACCUACAAGUCGAGCAGGGACGAAAGUCGGUGUGCCACAAUAAGUUAAAAUUAAACG